GAUGAACGCUAGCGGCAGGCCUAACACAUGCAAGUCGAGGGGUAACUAGAGUGAUAGCAAUAUUACUUUGGCUAGACCGGCGCACGGGUGCGUAACACGUAUGCAACCUACCUUAUACUGGGGAAUAACUUCGAGAAAUCGGCGCUAAUACCCCAUAACAUUGCGAAGAGGCAUCUCUUUGCAAUUAAAGCUCCGGCGGUAUAAGAUGGGCAUGCGUCCAAUUAGCUAGUUGGUGAGGUAACGGAUCACAAAGGCUACGAUUGGUAGGGGUUCUGAGAGGAUGAUCCCCCACACGGGUACUGAGACACGGACCAGACUCCUACGGGAGGCAGCAGUGAGGAAUAUUGCGCAAUGGACGAAAGUCUGACGCAGCCAUGCCGCGUGCAGGAUGACGGCCCUAUGGGUUGUAAACUGCUUUUGUACGGGAAUAAACCCUUCUACGUGUAGGAGGCUGAAGGUACCGUAAGAAUAAGCACCGGCUAACUCCGUGCCAGCCGCCGCAGUAAGAC
rnacentral:rRNA from 1 species